GAAAAAUCCUCUGACCUCAUUCAAACAGCAGCCUUUUCAAACAUUUAAUCAAACUGCGACGUGCUGCAUGAGUUUUAGCAGCAGCUGUCAGUCAUCUGCAUCAACCAUCACAAACAGCUGCUGGAUGAAUUUUGUUUCACUGUAAUACCGUUUCAGAAGCAAAAACAAUGUUAUGAAAGAUGCACAGCAGGAAGGCCACUCAAACAAGUUCAAUAAUCAUUUGCUUAUAUUAAAAAAGUAGGUCAGCAUGACUUUCAUCAUAACGCGUCUCAUAACCACAGCUGCAGUCCUUCAGGCUGUCAGAGUGGUCAAGUGUAGUGGUUAUGGCUUCAAUUUAAAAACAUAAAAUAAAAAGUCAAUGGAGCCAAAAUGCAUAUUAAAAACAACGGCUUUGAGACAUUUUGAAUUUGUCUUUUCUCCACACUUUAUAUUAAUAUGAGGGGAAAAUGCCUCUGAAGGGACUUUUAAAUCUAAUUUCUAAAUGUGUGCCACUGCUGCAUAAGACAGUAUUUAAAACAGAAGUUUAAGUCUAACCUUAACCAGGUGUUUGAAGCAUCCAUCCUCCAUCAAACCAGAAUUAUUUGCCAUAAACAGAUUUUUAUUUUAACCAUCUGUCUGACAGGAACUCGCAUAUCCCUCAUACAGAGAGAAGCAGCAGAUUUAGACCUGCUGUAAAAAAGCAGAUUAUAUCUAGGAGUACCUUAAGAAUAGGGUGACCAGGUCAUUUAAAUUUCAUCUCCCUUCUUCCACAUUUUGAGACCAUCUCCACAUAGUUUGUUAAGGUUUACUAAAGUAAGCACGUGUUUCACAGGAAACGUGUCUAGAAAACCUUUCUGCUGAUGUGAGGAUCUAGAAUGAAAUCAAAAGAUAAUUAUCAGACAGAACAGCAGUUCUAACACAAGAAAGAAAAAGGAAAUGCGAGACAAGACCACAGAAAUAAACAUCAGCUUCAUUUUAUGCUUCUCAAAGUCAGGGAAAAUGCAUUCAAAUGACAUGUCACAUGAUCAAAGUCAAACAUGUGACCUAAAACUAAACAUUUUUAUCUUAACGUAGUUUACUGGGAUCUGGUCACCCUACACGAGAACUACUGAUGAUAAACACGAUGUUUAAAAAUUAAAUAUCAAGUUAAUAAUGCUAAAUGAUAAUAUUGUAAAUAAUGGUGUAACUGUUUGUAGUUCAGCGUCUCACUGCACUAUUUUGAUUUUAAUCAACUUCUUUCUUCUAAUUUUUUGCAAAUUUACAGAAUAACUUAAAAUGUCAUUAUUGCUACUUUUUCAUAUAAAUAUUAAAUACUGUUAGAUUUCAUCUCCUCAUUUGUAUAUAAUUUGGGUUUUUGAUGGCGUGAUUUGAACCUUCCUGAUGUUCCAGUCUCUUAUCACAUCUCUGUUGAUAAGAGACUUGUUUCUUUUGGAGAAAAAUCUACAAAUUCAAGAUGUCCCUGUGCCUCCAGAGCAGUGUAAAUAUUCUCGUAAAAGCUAUUCAGCGCUGCAGUGGCGUCACUAUAGUUAAUAAUUAGCAAAGACAUCUGUUUGAAUAGCAAAAUAAUUAUCAUACAUCCUCAUAUGUGGGCGAACAUUUUACUUUACAGCUUUAUGUACAAAAAAACUCCUCAGUUGCUACACUGUGGAAUAAGAAUAGCCCUCCAUUAAAAAAUUAAAAGUUGUAAAAUAUUACUGUUUUUUUUGUUUUUAAAAUACAAAUAUAAAAUUUGCAUGGUUGCCCAACAACCAGAUGUCGCAGGUUAUUCCAACCAGUACAUUUUUUUGUCUUUACAGUUGUCUGCGUAAUAAAAAAGGCAAAAUUCAAAGCAUUUAUAAAACAGCUGUUACAUGAUGGCAGGAAAACACAUCCACAAGCUUGCAAGUCCAUUCAAUGUUCCGAUGAUGUGCAAUGCAAACAUAAAAUAACUGUAUGUGCCGACGUAUGUAUUCUCUUUCAGAAAAAUGAGAACGAGGCGUUUUAAUUUGUUUUCUGAAAAUACAAACUGCCAAGUUGUUAAACCAUUAUUGCUUUUACGUUUUAGAAAAUGUACAGAAAUCUUUGAAAUAUCACAGAUCAUAGUGAUGCAAUCAUAAAAUUCAACAUUUAGCUGGCUUUCCUGAUUUUCAUGUUUAAUCAUUGUGUGCUAUGAAGGAGCUGUUGCUGCAGCUUGACUUUUAAUAUAAAUUUUUAGCUUUAUAUCUAUUUCCACACAAACACUUUUCAUUUUGUUAAUAUGGGCUCUAAAUAAUCUGACAGGUUAACUAACGGUUACACUGACUCACUGCACCAUCUUGUGGUACAAAGUGGUAUUACAUAUAGGGCAGCCAGUCGAGAUCUCUUUAGUCAAAGUGGUUUUUGUUCACAAUGUGUUCGAUAGCUUUAGCUCAUUUUGAAAGGUUUGAGGUAAAACAAGCAAACAAACAAAAAGUCUCAAAAGAAUUUAAACCUCCUAAAAUUAAAUAUAAUGUGAAGAAUCAGCAUCUGUGUAUUAUCCUGAGCAACCGUGACCACUAUUUUACAUACAAAGUUCAUUGUUUGUUAGUCAUUAGAAUGAAUACAUUUUAAAGCACAGCAGUGCCAUUUUUGAAAGCCCCCCAUCCAUCUAUCCAUUUUCUGCCUCCUUUUUGGAACCAGUUCACAGGCCCAGCAGCCUCAGCAGAGUCAUCUAAAACUCCCUGUCACCAGCUCUUCUGGGGAGACAACCAAGUGUUCACAAGCCAGCUGAGAGACAAUCUCUCCAGCGUGUCCUGGUUUGCACUGAGACCUCGUUCCAGCAGGACAUGCCUAACACGCCUCAUCUAGGAGAUGCUCUGGAGGCAUCUUACGCUGAUGAACCACCACAACUGCCUCCUUUCCAUAAAUGUAGAUAAGCAGCUUCAGUUUAACACUCUGUACCACAGCUGACUCCACACAAAUCUGUCUGCCCAGCUCCCGCUCCACUCCACCCUCACUCCUGAACAAGAACACACAAAACCCUCCAAUUCAGG
ensembl:lncRNA